rnacentral:lncRNA from 1 species
UAAAAGAGGAAGUUUAAAGAACUGAGAGUCAAUAGCUUUAAAAUUUUCAGGAAAAAUAAAAGGGAGUAAACAAGUGAAGAGGAAGGGGUCCUAGGUUUAUAAAUAACAUGGAUCAUCCCAUAAAACACCCGGUAACAAUUUAUACACGUGGUGUUAUCGCAUGGUCAUCAUAUCCAUGUCUACCCUUACCUACCUCGUUAAGGUAUUAAAUCGCGGAGUGGCCUCGUUAAUUAUUGCAUGCUAUUACCCGCCCCAAUCCUAUCAGUCCCGGAAGUAGUUGUGACCACUAAUCCUAAAAGGGAAGGAAGAUUGUUUUCAGAGAUUUAAAAGGACAAAAGUCUAGUUUUGCGACAAACAAAAACACACAAAACAGUAAAAGGGGAAACACAUAGCAGUUAAAGGCUCAGAUAGGCCUCCUCAUUCAAAGUAGCAAAUUGUUUAGUAUGGCUUACAGGUGCUGGUAGGUCUUUAAUUAAACUUAAAAGUUAAGGCAAUUUGGUUUAUCACAUAUUUCUUAGAUAAGAAGUCCGAAUUAG